rnacentral:misc_RNA from 1 species
UUCUUUCAAGUCCUUGUUUAUAAAUGUAAACAUCAAAGGGAUAAAAUGAGUUAAGGCACAAAGAUGGAGUGUUAUAUAUGUCAAGUGACAUUUCCACCUUUCCAAAUCAGUUCUCAGGAGCUGGCACAAACUUCAAAUAUUUGUACACACAUCAUACUAGUAAUUCUUCAGUAUCCUAAGACCAAAAGAGAGACUCAAACGUCAGUUGCAAACUGCUUGGAUACAAGCAUCCACUUUGAAGUAAACCCUUGGAUCAGAAGAAAUUGAAAAUAAUACCAAGAGAGGGAAAAACAACUCGUGACGCUAACAGAGAAACUCCUAAUUUUUUAUCCCAACUGCAUAGACAGACGUUAACAAGGAAAAACAAGUCAUAUACAUGGUUAUAUUAUUUUAAUAGUCAUCGGUACAAGUUAUCUAACAAUAUCACAACAAAGAUAAAAAUGCUGUAAGAAACCAUUCGUGAGUGAUCCAAUAGGGAGAAAAGAUGAGUCCAAAAAAUUUGACACAACCAGCUCUUAUAGUAGUGAUUAAGCCUAAGUUUCAAACUGACAAGAAACUGAUUCACAAAGCAUUUAACUCAAUCAAAUUAUGUUACUGUUGAUG